UUUUACUUCUAGCACAACCUCAAUAAAUAUUCUAGUAUAAAUUUUUUUUCUAAUGAUCAAAAUUGAUAACUUAGAUUCAACGGACCGGAUAAUAUUUAAGAAGAAUAAUUAAUUUCUAAUAAUAAGAUUAAUAUGAUUGUAAUUAGUUAAUCUUGUGAUCCCAUAUGACCCAUUUAAUUUAUUCAGUUAGACUCAUUUAAUUUAUUAU
rnacentral:lncRNA from 1 species